AAAAAAAAGAUUGUAAAAAGGUUAUUCUCCUUUUUAUAACAUCUGUGUGAGGCUGCAUUUUCUUCAUAUUCCUGUACUUCAGCCAAACGGCAUAUGGCAAUAGAUUUGAUGCAAAAGCAGACACGAAUAUCUCGUUAUCUUUGAUUAAGCUAGACAUUAAGUAAAGACAUUGGAAAACACUAAACAUUAAAAACAACGCCACACUUCUUAACGUAUUUUUUCUGGGAAGUAUUGUUAUAAAAUGUUAUUUAUGUUAACAUGUAGGGUUUUAAAAAUUAUUUUUAUGUAAGUUAAUGAGUAUACAAAUUCUUCAUUUUAACUUCUGAUAUAUGGUAAAUAUUGAUAGAUAAAAAUCACACAAGCAAAAGUUGUCACUGAUCCUCAGUAAUUUUUUGACAGGUAAAGAUUUCCCAAGACCAAAAAGCUUAGGAGCACUGCCCCAUUCCACUGUUCUGCUGCUGGUUUUGCUUUGACUCUCCCAGAGGAAAACCGGGGUUGUCACUGGAAGUUCCUGAAGUAAUCUCCUUUUUUAGCAAACUUUUCAUUAUUACACUAUUUGGGUCAUGGUACAACUUUGCUGAAUUGCCUUGAACUGAAGUAUUGGAUUUUUACUUUAAUUUAUCCUGUGAUUAUGCUGAUUUUGCUUCACUGAUAUUCUGUCAUGUCCUUAGAUUUCUAAUGAAACUGCUCAGAAAUCAACCAGGUAAAAUUUUAUGGGAAAGUUAGGUGGGGAACUAGCACUUGGUUAUGUUUGUAUAAAAAGAAACCCACAAAAUUUUUUCUCAAAACAGUGUUUCUGGUUGUCAAAUGAAAUAGGGGAGCAAUUAGACUUCUGUCUGGUGAGUAGAUUAAAAUAUUUCUGCUGA
rnacentral:lncRNA from 10 species